UUUGCAUGUUCGGAAAAAUUCGAAAUGAAUUCGACUUGUAAGAAAUAAGGCCAUAAUUUGAUCUCUAUUUAAAAUAUGUGUUUUGUCCAUGAAAUGUUGAUAUGGAAAUAUCGAGGAAGGCUAAGGGCAAAAAUUGGAAUUUCGGAAAUUAGUUUCGGGAAUUACAAAAUAAGCCCCUAAAUGAAUUGGGCUAGUGAAAAAAAAAAGAACAAGAGGCCCAAAUUAAAAGGGGUGGCCGACCACGGCUAUGGGAAAAAGGCCCAAGCCCAUUAUCAAGAAAGACCAAUUAAAAAUAAAUAGAAGGGGCCAUUCUUUCUUCAACACAAUAGAACUUUCAAGAACAAGAGAGAGAAAGAGCAAGAACAAAGGCCAUUCGGCCACUUCAAAAUAAAAAUAAAAAUUGUGGAGCUCAAAUCUUUGGUUCAAACUCAUCUCUUUUGAAUUCCUAUUAAGUUGGAAACCCUCUUCAAUGUGAUACAAAUUUGGAGGCAAGAAAGUACUUUUUUUAUCAAGUGGAAAUUCUUGAAAAAGAUAUUGGAGAGCCCGAGACUUGAGUCGGGAUUUGUUUGGCGAGUGAUCGAGAUUUGGUAGUGAGCGAUCGAGGUACAGACGUUUGUUCUGGUGACCCGCCAGCGUAGGAUACAUUCUGCUACUUGGAGUGCUCCAUUGACUCGGAGCCCUUACUUUUGGUAAAG